CAGAGGGUGCAAGCGUUAAUCGGAUUUACUGGGCGUAAAGCGUGUGUAGGUGGUUGGGAAAGUCAAUUGUGAAAUCCCCGGGCUUAACUCGGGAACUGCUUUUGAUACUGUCUGACUAGAAUUCGGUAGAGGGAGGCGGAACUCCAGGUGUAGCGGUGAAAUGCGUAGAUAUCUGGAAGAACACCAAUGGCGAAGGCAACCUCCUGGGCCUGAAUUGACACUGAGACACAAAAGCGUGGGGAUCAAACAGGAUUAGAUACCCUGGUAGUCCACGCCGUAAACGAUGACAACUUGACGUCGGUUUGCUCUGCGAAUCGGUGUCGUAGCUAACGCGAUAAGUUGUCCGCCUGGGGAGUACGGCCGCAAGGUUG
rnacentral:rRNA from 1 species